rnacentral:rRNA from 1 species
GACGAACGCUGGCGGCGUGCUUAACACAUGCAAGUCGAACGGAAAGGCCCUGCUUUUGUGGGGUGCUCGAGUGGCGAACGGGUGAGUAACACGUGAGUAACCUGCCCUUGACUUUGGGAUAACUUCAGGAAACUGGGGCUAAUACCGGAUAGGAGCUCCUGCUGCAUGGUGGGGGUUGGAAAGUUUCGGCGGUUGGGGAUGGACUCGCGGCUUAUGAGCUUGUUGGUGGGGUAGUGGCUUACCAAGGCUUUGACGGGUAGCCGGCCUGAGAGGGUGGCCGGCGACAGUGGGACUGAGAUACGGCGCAGACUCCUACGGGGGGCAGCAGUGGGGAAUAUUGCACAAUGGGCGGAAGCCUGAUGCAGCAACGCCGCGUGCGGGAUGACGGCCUUCGGGUUGUAAACCGCUUUCGCCUGUGACGAAGCGUGAGUGACGGUAAUGGGUAAAGAAGCACCGGCUAACUACGUG